rnacentral:misc_RNA from 1 species
GUCUACGUCCAUAUGCGAGCAAAGUGCAGCACCAGCAGUAGAACCAAAUCCUGUAACGACAUUGAUCACUCCAUCGGGAACACCUGCUUGUUUAGCCAAUUGAGCAUAAUAGAGCGCGGAAAGAGGAGUUUGUUCAGCAGGUUUGACAAUCAUAGUGCAACCAGCUGCUAAUGCAGGGCCAACCUUCAUAAGAAACAUCUGAGUUGGGA